UACGGAGGGAGCUAGCGUUGUUCGGAAUUACUGGGCGUAAAGCGCACGUAGGCGGCUUUGUAAGUUAGAGGUGAAAGCCUGGAGCUCAACUCCAGAAUUGCCUUUAAGACUGCAUCGCUUGAAUCCAGGAGAGGUGAGUGGAAUUCCGAGUGUAGAGGUGAAAUUCGUAGAUAUUCGGAAGAACACCAGUGGCGAAGGCGGCCAACUGGACGGUGACUGACACUGAGACGCGAAAGCGUGGGGAGCAAACAGG
rnacentral:rRNA from 1 species